UACGUAGGGGGCCAGCGUUGUCCGGAAUCAUUGGGCGUAAAGCGCGCGUAGGCGGCCAGAUAAGUCCGGUGUGAAAGUCAAAGGCUCAACCUUUGAAUGCCGCUGGAAACUGUCUGGCUUGAGUCCGGGAGGGGCGAGUGGAAUUCCCGGUGUAGCGGUGAAAUGCGCAGAUAUCAAGAGGAACACCAGUGGCGAAGGCGGCUCACUGGACGACUGUUGACGCUGAGGUACGAAAGCGUGGGGAGCAAACAGG
rnacentral:rRNA from 1 species